ACCCCUUUGUUGGUUGACUGUUAACAGAAUUAAUUGUUAGGUUACUAACUGAAUGAUCUCUGCUCUAGUACUUCCAAUACAAGAAGAGCUUCUGAUCCUUCCUUUUGUCAACACCAACUUUGAGAUGGACAAGAUUUCCAGCUGUUCCACAUCCAGAAGCUGACCAGACUGACCGCCGAGUCUUCAAAAUUAGUGACAAGACAGCUUCCUCCAUUGCACCCAAGGAUAGCAGUCUAGCUUAAAGGUAAAGCUCUUGGCUUGUUCUGUGACUCAUCACCCUCAGCAGGUGCUUACAGCGAUGCCCAGUUAGUAAUGUCUGAAGAACAGAAGGAUAGGCAAUUGGACAGGAAGUCCCCAUGACACUCCACCUCCAGCUUUCAUCUUCUGACAACUGAGAAAGUCUCUUUCAUCUCCCUUCACUCAGAGCUGUAAAACUUUUAUAUAAGUUGAUUUCAUGCAAUAUUAAGAGGACGUUUGUUUGCUUGGAUGGAGCAGGGGUGUGGGACUUGAAACAAAUGGCUUUCCACUGUGCUCACAUCUGAAAAAACCAGCGGAACUUAAUAGUGGAGUUUGUUCCAGUUCGGCUCAUGAAGAAAAUUUUUUUUAUUAAAAAAAAAGAAAGGAUUUGGGGACCAAGCUGUGGGAAAUAUUUUGCAUUUGUGGUGUUUCCUGUACUGCUUUGUCUGCUGUCUUGCCAUUUACAAAAUAUUAAUUUCAUGUAAUCCUAUGAGUUUGAAGGGACUCCAGCAUUCAUCCAGCCCAGUCCCCUGCCGAUUGAGGAAACGACAUAUUUUAAAUGCAUUGAAUACAUGAAGAAUAUUUGGCUUCAUUUUUUAUAUGCAUUUCAGUUGUUCCCCUCUCCUUGUCAUCAAGAUCUCUGAAUUUCUGCUUCUGAUAAGUGUUGCUCAGACAUGCACCAAUUGUUUUACAGGUGACAUACCAGCAAAUAGGAUUCUUUGCUUGCAUUUUCUUUCAACAGAGCUGUAAUGUACAAAAUGAAAUUUGUCAGGUGCCUGGUGUUUUUUUUUUCCCCUACCCCAGGAGUAAAUGCAAUGGGUCCAUUUGAUUUUCUGACAGCCUUCAUUGCUGCUUUGUUAGUCUCCUUUGCAAUUUGUUCACUUAAUGCAAUGGCACUGACACCUAAACGCUAAAUAAUAAAUGGUAAUACAGUAAACUGGCAUGUUCUAAAUAAAGAAAAUGGUUUUCCUCU